rnacentral:rRNA from 1 species
CAGCCGUAAACGAUGCGCGUUAGGUGUAUCGACGACCACGAGUCGUCGAGGUGCCGAAGGGAAACCGUGAAACGUGCCGCCUGGGAAGUACGGUCGCAAGGCUGAAACUUAAAGGAAUUGGCGGGGGAGCACCACAACAGGUGGAGCCUGCGGUUUAAUUGGACUCAACGCCGGAAAUCUCACCGGAUAAGACAGCAGAAUGAUUGCCGGGCUGAAGACUCUGCAUGACUAGCUGAGAGGAGGUGCAUGGCGUAGACGUCU